CACUAAAAGGCUGUUUUCACAUCCAGCAACUGAAGAGGGAAGGUUUCUCUGUGCUAGCCUUAUAUCACUUACAGCACCUUUAAAGGUGUUGUAAGUGAUGAAAACCGAUUCCAGCACUCCCAGGAAGGGCUUACACAACCAAAUACACCAAGUGAAUUAAGAUUGCUGAAGAAAAGAAAGAAGAAAAGAAAACUGCCAGGGAAAAAAGAGAGAGGAGUCAUGUAAGACCCGCAUUUAUAUCAGUGUGGCCUUCAAUUGGUGAGAAAACCUAAAAGGUUUUUAAUCUGAGCGAAGCUUAUUGUUAGCUCGGUAGCUAAUAUUAGCUGUAGUUAUAUGUGCUUAAUUAUAGCAGAAAAUGAACUCGGUAAUGCUAGCUAACUUUACAGCCAAGUGGAUGACUGAGAAAUGAAACAUUAGAUAAUAAUGUUCAUCUGUCUUUCCCUCAUUAUGAGAGAGACUGCUUCACAUCAACACCCUUCAAGCUCAGAGGAAAGCAACCCCCGCACCAACCAUUACUGUCAAGCAUUUCCAGGAGUUCCUCUGAGAGGGAUGAUGCUAAUUUCGCUGGUGUACAGUGGCUGGUGGAAGAAAGCCCUCCUGAGGAAACAGCUCUUCGUUGAUUGGAAAGGAAGUUUGUGCCCAGUUAUUCUUGCUACCAGGUGAUGCUCGAAUGGACAGUCCUGGUUUCUGUGCACAUUGUACAUACACCAGCGUGGAUCACGACACCAAAGAAAUGAUCAGCGUGGUCAACAUGGACAAGAGAGAAACUGGGAGAAAUUCCUUCAUUAUGGAGAGGGAGGCGCUCAUCCACAUUUUUGACAAGCACUUUUGAACUGAAGCUCUCAGAGUUCUGCACAGGCCCAAAUUGCAGCUCUUUUUGGUAGGACAUAUUGCACUUACAGUAUAUGUUUCAUUUGCUGCUGUUGCUCUUGCUAAUAAAGAGCAUUAGUUCCCAAACAUUCAUCAGACAUAAAUGUAACUGUUUUGGAUUAUGACCAGGAAAUGUUUAUUGAUACCAACAUUGUUUAUGUUUGUUUUGUUGACAAUUUCAGCCAAGGGGAAAUAAAAAGACAGUAGAGUUCAUCACUCACUCGACAUGUGGCAUGGAUCCAAAAACUUUGGCA